CGCGGCCUAUCAGCUUGUUGGUGGGGUAAUGGCCCACCAAGGCGACGACGGGUAGCCGGCCUGAGAGGGCGACCGGCCACACUGGGACUGAGACACGGCCCAGACUCCUACGGGAGGCAGCAGUGGGGAAUAUUGCACAAUGGGCGAAAGCCUGAUGCAGCGACGCCGCGUGAGGGAUGACGGCCUUCGGGCUGUAAACCUCUUUCAGCAGGGAAGAAGCGAAAGUGACGGUACCUGCAGAAGAAGCGCCGGCUAACUACGUGCCAGCAGCCGCGGUAAUACGUAGGGCGCAAGCGUUGUCCGGAAUUAUUGGGCGUAAAGAGCUCGUAGGCGGCUUGUCACGUCGGGUGUGAAAGCCCGGGGCUUAACCCCGGGUCUGCAUCCGAUACGGGCAGGCUAGAGUGUGGUAGGGGAGAUCGGAAUUCCUGGUGUAGCGGUGAAAUGCGCAGAUAUCAGGAGGAACACCGGUGGCGAAGGCGGAUCUCUGGGCCAUUACUGACGCUGAGGAGCGAAAGCGUGGGGAGCGAACAGGAUUAGAUACCCUGGUAGUCCACGCCGUAAACGUUGGGAACUAGGUGUUGGCGACAUUCCACGUCGUCGGUGCCGCAGCUAACGCAUUAAGUUCCCCGCCUGGGGAGUACGG
rnacentral:rRNA from 1 species